rnacentral:rRNA from 1 species
UACGUAGGGUGCAAGCGUUUGUCCGGAAUUAUUGGGCGUAAAGAGCUCGUAGGCGGUUUGUCGCGUCGAAUGUGAAAACCCGAGGCUCAACCUCGGGCCUGCAGUGGGUACGGGCAGACUAGAGUGCGGUAGGGGAGAUUGGAAUUCCUGGUGUAGCGGUGGAAUGGCGCAGAUAUCAGGAGGAACACCAAUGGCGAAGGCAGAUCUCUGGGCCGUAACUGACGCUGAGGAGCGAAAGCAUGGGGAGCGAACAGA